UACGGAGGGAGCUAGCGUUGUUCGGAAUUCCUGGGCGUAAAGCGCACGUAGGCGGCUUUGUAAGUUAGAGGUGAAAGCCCGGGGCUCAACUCCGGAACUGCCUUUAAGACUGCAUCGCUUGAAUCCAGGAGAGGUGAGUGGAAUUCCGAGUGUAGAGGUGAAAUUCGUAGAUAUUCGGAAGAACACCAGUGGCGAAGGCGGCUCACUGGACUGGUAUUGACGCUGAGGUGCGAAAGCGUGGGGAGCAAACAGG
rnacentral:rRNA from 1 species